CCUACGGGAGGCAGCAGUGAGGAAUAUUGGUCAAUGGCCGAAAGUCUGAACCAGCCAAGCCGCGUGAGGGAAGAAGGCUCUAUGGGUUGUAAACUUCUUUUGUCCGGGAGUAAAUCCCCCUACGUGUGUGUGUUUGCAAGUAUCUUACGAAUAAGGAUCGGCUAACUCCGUGCCAGCAGCCGCGGUAAUACGGAGGAUUCGAGCGUUAUCCGGAUUUAUUGGGUUUAAAGGGUGCGUAGGCGGUUUGAUAAGUUAGGGGUGAAAUCCCGGGGCUCAACCCCGGCACUGACGCUGAGACUGUUGGGCUUGAGUGGAGUAGAGGUAGGCGGAAUGCAUGGUGUAGCGGUGAAAUGCAUAGAUAUCACACAGAACACCGAUUGCGAAGGCAGCUUACCAAACUACGACUGACGUUGAGGCACGAAAGCGUGGGGAGCAAACAGGAUUAGAUACCCGAGUAGUC
rnacentral:rRNA from 1 species